rnacentral:rRNA from 1 species
GAUGAACGCUAGCUACAGGCUUAACACAUGCAAGUCGAGGGGUAACGAGAGGAAAGCUUGCUUUCCUUGUCGACGACCGGCGCACGGGUGAGUAACGCGUAUCCAACCUGCCCCCAACUAAGGAAUAACCUUGCGAAAGUAAGACUAAUACCUUAUAAUUUCCUCAGAUGUCAUCUGACGAGGAAUAAAGAUUUAUCGGUUGCGGGUGGGGAUGCGUCUGAUUAGCUUGUUGGCGGGGUAACGGCCCACCAAGGCAACGAUCAGUAGGGGUUCUGAGAGGAAGGUCCCCCACAUUGGAACUGAGACACGGUCCAAACUCCUACGGGAGGCAGCAGUGAGGAAUAUUGGUCAAUGGGCGGAAGCCUGAACCAGCCAAGUAGCGUGCAGGAUGACGGCCCUAUGGGUUGUAAACUGCUUUUAUACAGGAAUAAAGUUAGCCACGUGUGGUUAUUUGUAGGUACUGUAUGAAUAAGGACCGGCUAAUUCCGUGCCAGCCGCCGCCGUAA